rnacentral:rRNA from 1 species
UACGGAAGGUCCGGGCGUUAUCCGGAUUUAUUGGGUUUAAAGGGAGCGUAGGCCGUGGAUUAAGCGUGUUGUGAAAUGUAGACGCUCAACGUCUGACUUGCAGCGCGAACUGGUCCACUUGAGUGUGCACAACGCAGGCGGAAUUCGUCGUGUAGCGGUGAAAUGCUUAGAUAUGACGAAGAACCCCGAUUGCGAAGGCAGCUUGCGGGAGCACGAUUGACGCUGAAGCUCGAAAGUGCGGGUAUCGAACAGG